rnacentral:rRNA from 1 species
AGUGAACGCUGGCGGUAGGCCUAACACAUGCAAGUCGAACGGCAGCACAGGAGAGCUUGCUCUCUGGGUGGCGAGUGGCGGACGGGUGAGGAAUACAUCGGAAUCUGCCCAGUCGUGGGGGAUAACGUAGGGAAACUUACGCUAAUACCGCAUACGACCUCCGGGUGAAAGAGGGGGAUCGCAAGACCUCUCGCGAUUGGAUGAGCCGAUGUCGGAUUAGCUAGUUGGCGGGGUAAUGGCCCACCAAGGCGACGAUCCGUAGCUGGUCUGAGAGGAUGAUCAGCCACACUGGAACUGAGACACGGUCCAGACUCCUACGGGAGGCAGCAGUGGGGAAUAUUGGACAAUGGGCGCAAGCCUGAUCCAGCCAUACCGCGUGGGUGAAGAAGGCCUUCGGGUUGUAAAGCCCUUUUGUUGGGAAAGAAAUCUUUCAGGCUAAUACCCUGGGAGGAUGACGGUACCCAAAGAAUAAGCACCGGCGAACUUCGU